rnacentral:lncRNA from 10 species
CUAGAAGACAGUUCCCAGGAGGCCGAGGACGAGGCAUCGGGGCUGGGGCUAUCUGAGCAGCUCACAUCUGGGCCAGGGCUGCUGGGGAUGCCGGAGCAGCAGGAGCUGCAGGAGCCACCCGAGGCGAAGCGUGGAAGCAGCAGUCAGAAGGGGAACGGAUCUGUGUGCCCACAGCUCCUGGAGCCCCACAGGAGCACGUGAAUUGCCUCUGCUUACGUUCAGGCCCUGUCCUAAACCCAGCCGUCUAGCACCCAGUGAUCCCAUGCCUUUGGGAAUCCCAGGAUGCUGCCCAACGGGAAAUUUGUACAUUGGGUGCUAUCAAUGCCACAUCACAGGGACCAGCCAUCACAGAGCAAAGUGACCUCCACGUCUGAUGCUGGGGUCAUCAGGACGGACCCAUCAUGGCUGUCUUUUUGCCCCACCCCCUGCCGUCAGUUCUUCCUUUCUCCGUGGCUGGCUUCCCGCACUAGGGAACGGGUUGUAAAUGGGGAACAUGACUUCCUUCCGGAGUCCUUGAGCACCUCAGCUAAGGACCGCAGUGCCCUGUAGAGUUCCUAGAUUACCUCACUGGGAAUAGCAUUGUGCGUGUCCGGAAAAGGGCUCCAUUUGGUUCCAGCCCACUCCCCUCUGCAAGUGCCGCAGCUUCCCUCAGAGCAUACUCUCCAGUGGAUCCAAGUACUCUCUCUCCUAAAGACACCACCUUCCUGCCAGCUGUUUGCCCUUAGGCCAGUACACAGAAUUAAAGUGGGGGAGAUGGCAGACGCUUUCUGGGACCUGCCCAAGAUAUGUAUUCUCUGACACUCUUAUUUGGUCAUAAAACAAUAAAUGGUGUCAAUUUCA